rnacentral:misc_RNA from 1 species
AAGUCGUAACAAGGUUUCCGUAGGUGAACCUGCGGAAGGAUCAUUACCGAAAAGUAAAAAAAACCAAGCUCGUGAUGGUGCAAGUUUAGGUGCGUGUAGUAUGGAUUCGCGCUCUUGCCCUCAUGUUGCAAAAAGACAAGUUUUUGGCUGAAAUGGAUCUUGCGUUUUGGGGCAGUCUCUCGGGGCUGUUCCGGGCGUGAGAGCUGAUGGUCAAAAACUUUUCAUAAGUCUUCUGGUGUUCAUGCCCUCGCGGGGGCAUGGCUCAGGAGCAGAGCCUAAAAAUUUUGAAAACAAGAUAAAAAGAUAAAAAGACGUAAAAAUUAACCUCGUGUGGUGGAUCACUUGGCUCGUGG